rnacentral:rRNA from 1 species
UACGUAGGGGGCAAGCGUUGUCCGGAAUCAUUGGGCGUAAAGAGCGUGUAGGCGGCCCGGUAAGUCCGCUGUGAAAGUCCAGGGCUCAACCCUGGGAUGCCGGUGGAUACUGUCGGGCUCGAGUCCGGAAGAGGCGAGUGGAAUUCCUGGUGUAGCGGUGAAAUGCGCAGAUAUCAGGAGGAACACCGAUGGCGAAGGCAGGUCUCUGGGCCAUAACUGACGCUGAGAAGCGAAAGCAUGGGGAGCGAACAGG